CUGAUAGUUCCGACUGUAUCGCAUAUUGCGUGGGAGCUUCCAAUCAGUGACUCUCAAUUUCAAGUUCUAAUAGGACGAUCGCGGUUGGAUAAAGGUCCCGAACAGUGGAAUUCGGAUGCACCAUCGAGCUGUUAUUCUACCUGCGUGCCGUGCAAGGUCGUUUCAUCGGGACCAAUAAGAAUUCAACGACGAGUCUAGGCCUACGUGCCACGAGGAACGAACGACAAAGGGUCCGACCCGUCGUUUUUGGAACGCUACGUCUCCGAUUUGAUAAUCGAC
rnacentral:misc_RNA from 1 species